rnacentral:rRNA from 1 species
CGUACCGUCCAAACGUUAUUCGGAAUUACUGGGCUUAAAGGGUAUGUAGGCGGCGCUGUUAGUCGGGUGUGAAAUCCCACGGCUCAACCGUGGAACUGCGCCCGAUACUGCAGUGCUUGAGGGAGACAGAGGUAAGCGGAACUGAUGGUGGAGCGGUGAAAUGCGUUGAUAUCAUCAGGAACACCGGUGGCGAAAGCGGCUUACUGGGUCUCUUCUGACGCUGAGAUACGAAAGCUAGGGUAGCGAAGGGGAUUAGAUACCCCCGUAGUCCUAGCCGUAAACGUUGAGCACUUGAUCGAGGGCCCCCCCAUAGGCUCUCGGUCGUAGCGAAAGUGUUAAGUGCUCCGCCUGGGGAGUAUGGUCGCAAGGCUG